UUUUUUUUAAUCUUCCCAUCUAUCGUCUGCUGCCUAAUCCUGUUAAUGUAUGUGGAGUCCUGGCCAGUCCUGGACAGGUCAGACUCUAUCAAAGAAUCACAUAAGAGACAAACAACUCAGGUUGCCUAACAACCAAUGGGCUCUGCAGAUCGAUUCCAGGCUUGGUCGUUUAUAUGUUUCACCCUGGCAACCUGGCUGCUGGUUGGUAGAUGGCUAAACUUAGAGUGCUUUGGGAGAUCACCCUGACCAUAAAUGCACCAUAUACGACCAUACCAUGUACCUACGGUCAAUCACAAUGACCAAUAAAACCUCAUUUUCAGCCUAGACGUUUUUGGACUACUACCAAAAGAACAUCCACACAUAUGCAUAGUGUACAAUUGUGGGUCUAACAAAACCAGAACCCUGUUCUUCACAUUUUUUCAAAGCCCUUGUAAUGACUUUUGUCAGUUGUGCACAGGCAUCUAUUGAAUGAGGGCUGUUUCUGUGGCAUGCUGAAUGUGGGUGAUUAUACUCGUGGUCCAAGUAUUAUUUGGCCGAGCUGUGACAUGAUUCUUUUUUUUCUCAGUGGAAAAUGUUAGUGGUCUGGUUUGUGCAUGGAAAACCAAGGUUGAAACUCAUGAGUAGACCCCCACCCCACCCCCGUUCUCUGUCCAUAUACUCCGCUGUGUUCCGUUCACUCCCUACAGUCGCGGUUACCCGCCGUGCGUUUGCCAUCACUUUAAUCGCUGCGCUGUAACGGCAGAGCGGCACCAGCUCUCCCCGCCAUUUCCUUCCCCCGAGCCCUGGAAUGUCGAGUAGCGGCUCGGGCUCUUCUUCAAAGAAGGAGUUCGACGUAAAGCAGAUCCUCAGGAUCAGAUGGAGGUGGUUCGGUCACCCCGCGGUGCCUCCGCCUCACGCCCCGCCGUUAGGAGAAUACUUUGCCGGAAGGAGAGCAGUGAGCAGCCCCGCUGAAGGAGCGUCGGUUACCGGGAGCAGCGGCUCGGUUUCAGCUGGCGUCACUCUCAGCUCUGGCGGUCACGGCGGUCUGGUAGCCAGCGGCAGCGCUGGCUCUAAUCUGUGUCACGGAAGCCCCGGCAAUAGAAAGUUUGCAGAACCGGCAGGGAGUCGCCUCAGUGCGGGAGGAGCGGCUGUAGGAGCGACGGGCAGCUCCUGUCCACGCUCCUUCAGCCAGCCGGAGUGCAGAAGCUCAGCCGCGGGGCUGUCCUGGGUAUCACCGCCGCCUCACCGUCGCUCUCGUCCGUUGACAAGCAUUCAACCUUCCGACGACACUCCAGUGCCUCCGCUGGAAGCUGAUCCCUCUGACCGUGUCGGAGCAGAGGAGGAGGUGGCUGCGGGAGUGGCAGCGGCGGCCACUGAGGAGAACAACCAUCCGGAAACUGACUCCAGCUCUUGCAGAACGUCAAACAGCAGUGCCACGCUGUCCUCGUGCAUGUCUAUGGAACCCUGUGCAUGUCCAGAGGAGUCUCUCUUCACCGCCAUGUCCCACGCUGACGUGACCUUCCGCAAGAUGGAGGGCUACCUGAGGAACCGGCAGCUGUGUGAUGUCAUACUGGUAGCUGGAGACAGGCGGAUACCUGCACACAGACUGGUCCUCUCAUCUGUGUCAGACUACUUUGCAGCCAUGUUCACCAAUGAUGUACGAGAGGCCAAGCAGGAUGAGGUGAAGAUGGAAGGAGUAGACCCUGAUGCAUUGUGGGUCCUUGUGCAAUAUGCAUACACAGGACGUCUGGAGUUGAGGGAGGACACCAUUGAAUCGCUGCUGUCAGCCUCCUGUCUGCUGCAGUUGUCGUCUGUGGUGCAAGCCUGCUGCUCUUUCCUCAUGAAGCAGCUCCACCCCUCCAACUGUCUAGGAAUCAGAUCCUACGCUGACGCUCAGGGAUGUCAUGACCUGCAGAGGGCAGCUCACACCUACACCAUGGAUCACUUUUUAGAAGUCGUGGGAGGCCAGGAGUUCUUACUGCUCCCGGUGGAGGAGAUGGAGAGGCUGCUCACUUCUGAAGACAUUAACGUGCCAGACGAGGAAACGGUGGUGACGUCUUUACUCACGUGGGUUCGUCACGACACCGUAACUCGGCAGCGCCACCUACCUCUGCUUCUGGCGCAUGUCAGACUGCCACUGCUACAGCCACAGUUCCUAGCAGACCUGGAGUCCAACCCUCUGCUGCGGGACAGUGUGGAGUGUCAGCGCCUUCUGAUGGAGGGAAUGAAGUAUCAUCUCCUCCCCCAGCAUAGGCCCCUGCUACAGAGUCCUCGCACUCGUCCUCGUAAGGCUACCGUGGGCGCUAUGUUCGCUGUGGGUGGCAUGGACGCCACGAAAGGUGCUACCAGCAUCGAGCAGUACUGUCUGCGCCAAGACACGUGGAAGCAGGUCGCCACCAUGAGCGGGCGGAGGCUACAGUUUGGUGUUGCGGUUCUUGACGGACGGCUCUAUGUGGUGGGGGGACGAGACGGACUGAAGACCCUGAACACUGUGGAGUGUUACAACCCCCAGAGUAAAACCUGGAGUGUCAUGCCUCCCAUGUCCACACACAGACAUGGCCUUGGUGUAGCCGUCCUGGAGGGACCCAUGUACUCGGUUGGAGGACAUGACGGCUGGAGCUACCUCAGCACAGUGGAACGGUGGGACCCUCAAGCUCGACAGUGGAGCUUUGUAGCCAGUAUGGCCACACCCAGAAGCACUGUGGGCGUAGCUGUGCUUAAUGGUUGUAUGCAGUAGGUGGUAGAGAUGGUUCAUCAUGCCUGCGUUCAGUGGAGUGUUUCGACCCCCACACUAACAGAUGGACUGGUUGUGCUCCUAUGGCUAAACGUCGCGGGGGUGUUGGUGUGGCCACGUGGCAUGGCUUCUUGUACGCCAUCGGAGGGCACGACGCCCCGGCCUCCCCCCCAGCCUC